UGGGGAAUAUUGGACAAUGGGGGCAACCCUGAUCCAGCCAUGCCGCGUGAGUGAUGAAGGCCUUCGGGUUGUAAAGCUCUUUUGGCGGGGACGAUGAUGACGGUACCCGCAGAAUAAGCCCCGGCUAACUUCGUGCCAGCAGCCGCGGUAAGACGAAGGGGGCUAGCGUUGUUCGGAAUUACUGGGCGUAAAGCGAGUGUAGGCGGUUGCCGUAGUCAGGUGUGAAAGCCUUGAGCUCAACUCAAGAAAUGCACUUGAUACUGGGUGACUAGAGGACCGGAGAGGAUAGUGGAAUUCCCAGUGUAGUGGUGAAAUACGUAGAGAUUGGGAAGAACACCAGUGGCGAAGGCGGCUAUCUGGACGGUUACUGACGCUAAGACUCGAAAGCGUGGGGAGCAAACAGGAUUAGAUACCCUGGUAGUCCACGCCGUAAACGAUGGGUGCUAGACGUUGGCGAGCUUGCUCGUCAGUGUCGCAGCUAACGCGUUAAGCACCCCGCCUGGGGAGUACGGCCGCAA
rnacentral:rRNA from 1 species